rnacentral:tRNA from 1 species
AAUCGUAUAGCAAGUAUUGCACUAAGUUUCGGCCUUAGAGAUGGUUAACACCUACGAUUA